UAUUCAUGCUAAGGACAUGUUCUACUUAGGUAUUUCAUUGGACCUGAAGCCUCCAGCAGCUGAUGUUGCUGCUAUCAAGGAAAGGUUAUUUUAAGCUAACAUGAUGCGAACUGGAUCUUGGGAAUGUUGAGUUUAAUAUUGUUGACAAGCAG